AAGAAUGUGAGACGAAGAGGAACGCCAGGUAAGAGAGAGUGUGAGGAUGAUGUGGCGACAGUCACAGGCAAGCAUAAUGAUUUGACCUAAUAGGGCUGGGGACGGUGGCAGUAGGGCACGGCGACCCCGGGCCACGUGGCUACCGCUCGCACCUCCCAUAGCCAUUCCACUCGGCACAGCGUUCGAAUAGGCCCGCCGCAAGCCGCGCGCGAACUGUGUCCGUGCGGUCGACCUGGUUGGGUUGGGAGUGGCAUCGAGCUUGGUGGUGAUUGGGGUUGCAAAGAAAUUAGUUACGGUACUUCUAUGGGUAACUGUGUGAAAUGUGACGCUGGAAGACUUAGGAUAAACUAAACUGCAAGCCAAGCUUUGUAUGUUGAGGAGACUCCUUAACUAUGACUCGCCGUGGGACGUAUUGCCCAAUUUUCUGUGCGUACACGUAGACCUCUAACCCAAAGGAUUCUGGGCAACGCCUUGCGGCCUCGGUGAAGCUGGUGCAACCGCAUCUUUCCGGAAUCCAACUUGAACACACGAAGCGACGGAUAACUAGGAUGCUGUUGCUUCCGAUUUAGCAAAAUCACACUUACGAAGAAGACUUGGAUGUGGUAACGACGCCACGACACGUUUGGCCACAAGCUUUGUGUCGGAAAGGCUGUUUUUGCUCCUUUUAAACCUGCUGGUUGGCCCUUUUGUCCGCUGAAGUAGCUGCGCGCACUUCAUAUGUGACCCUUCGGGUUGCGCUCUUGAUUCAAGGUAGUGUGGACACUGCGAAUAAGCAUCGAGAGCUACUACUUGAUGUGCUUGCAGAAGUGCUAGGAGGACAAAGGGAUAUUUCCAGUUGACUAGAAUAACUAAUCAAUCCAGCCCUGCUCCAAAAAUGCAACCAAUAAAUGCCUGCGCGAAACGAAUUGCUAAAAAAAUCGGGUUUCGGAUGGGAAACAGGUAUAUUAUUUCUCCGAAACAAAAUGGCCAAAGUCCGCAAGCUUUCCGUGAUGCAAAAACAAAGCCCGAUCGCAAUAAAUAUAGGCCGGUCCAAGAAAUUGAGUAAUACUAUCCAGUGAAAGCUUAACAAUCCGGCCGGGCCAAACUCUCAUCCGUAUUCUCGCCCUGUCCAACACCCAUAUAACUCAUGCUGCGUCGCUGUCCUAACCCUGCCAUUCAUCGCGCAUCUCCAUAUCAACCUCCUCCACCAUUUGUGUGUGUGUGUGUUACAUCUCGGUUGCGCUACCCAGAGAGGCCUAACGAGCCCAUACAAGCCAGCAGGAGCCCAAGACUCUAAGCGCCACCAUUUAUUCAUCAUAAAUGAAUAAACAAACACAACAGCCAAACACAACAGCCAAACACGCAACCGCUAUGCCUCAUUCACGUCCACACACGCACACACACCACCCGGACUCCGAACCCGCAGUAUCCCCGCAGGCCUUUCAGCCCCGCCGCCGCGCCAGAUGCGGCAUCUGUAAAACCACCACAAGCCAUCAUUCACACCUCACCGCACUACCUCCUCUUACCCUACACGCACACGUAAGCAGAUCUACAACCGCAUGGAUCCUCACCACACACUCCCCGUCCUCCUCGCCCUCCUCCUCCUUACAAGUACCCCCCCUGUAGGGGCUACACGCAUCAUAUGCGCCACAGGAUCCGCUUCUGCUUAACGAGGGGCUGCAUAACCAACGGACCGGAAUGCAAUGCUGGCCUCUAUCACCAACGGACUCCACCGUGGAAUCAUGGUCCUAGUGAAGCCAGAGGUCCACAUGGAAUAUACAAACCUGACGUUCUACACCACCUCUAUAUUCGCAACAAUACCACUACUGAACGUUGCUGCACAAGUAACUUGAACCGAAAGGUUAUAAGGCACAAAGGGUUAAAGUGCUGCCUAGACUACUGGUACGGACAGCUCUAGCUAGCACGAAGGUCGAAACACCCUCUAGCCGGCAAUUCAUCGAUAAGAGGCACAACAACACCGCAUACUAGCGGAACGUCACACCGAAGCUGGGUGGCAGGUACGGUACACCAAGCCAGAGGUCAUCAGCUUAGGGUUUGGGGUCACCAUUCGGAAAGACCUACAGCCCUUGCUGAUCAAACCUGAGUGACCAACCAGCUGUCUGCUGCAGUCUGCACGACCAUACUGUAAUCCUAAACAAUACGUAAGAGCCCGGCCCCAAAAGGAAAAAAGAGAUGGACCACUGGGAGACAAGGGAGAGCAAGUCAAACACCAAACCGGUGGUGGGCAGUGCAGGCGCAAGGGGAAACCCAUGACCUCUCCACCCCUGCCCCCUUAAUACACGCCUUGAUUCAAGCUGAGGCGUAUUAUCAUCAUCACUGUUAUUACUAUUAUGGGGAAAAGCGGCGGGCAAAGGACAGGCCCACGCCCCAACUCAAGCCGGCUGCCCAUGACAUGAAGCACCACCACAUGUACAGCUUACAGCCCACAGAACCACGUGUGCUUCAGCGCAUCCUUGGCGGUCAGGCUGCGCCUCUCCAGCUGUUGCCGAAGGUCCUGAGCCGCACUGCUUAAUGGAAACGCCAAGUGGUUCAUUAGCUGAUCCACCACCAUGUCCAGGUCUGAGUAUGGCGUGUAGGUGCCAUCGCAUUCCAGGGUGGUGCUGCGCCAGUACCUCAGCGGGUAGGGUGGAUCGCUGCACUUGCAGCCGACCUUGCCCACGUGCUCCAGGUCAAUUAGCAGCCAUUUGCGUUGCACCGGCAGGAAAAUGAGGUUGGUCCAACGCACGUCCCGGUGCACAAAGCCUGCAUGUGCGCACACAUAUGUACACCGUUUUAGAUGCACCAGCGACAAUCAAGCACCUGGCAACAAAUGCGUGAGGUGCAGCAGCAAGUGAAACACCCUCACAUAUGCCGGUUACAGCAGGGACCUUGCCUUCAGCGUGCAAUGCCUCUAGGCCAGUCAGGGCGCCAUGCACCGCGCACUUGAGCUCCUCCUCGGAACCCGGGGGCCCCGUGCAGGGCACACCGAUUGGGGCCAGGUGCACAAUGUAUUCAUCCUCCACCAGGCGCGGUGCAGCCAUGUUGAAAGCCAGCUGGAUGAUCUUGCCGUCAUGCCGCUUCAUCUUUUGAUACACGUCCUGCAGCAGCUCGAAGCUUGUAUACCUUGCAUGCAGUGUGGAGAACUUGGGGAGGCUCUUCCGAAUGAAGCCUGCACAUACACACCGCAGCCACAAUUUACAGGCAGCAAGCCUACUCAGCACUGAUAGAUUGCUGUGAGUUGCCUGGCAUAUCAGCAAAACCAUAUCAGGCUCUUGAUAGCAAUACAGUACCACGCUUCAACUCAAGGCAAUCCAUGCAAAUCCUUGCAAGAGCACUCCAACCGGUUCAUCAAGGUACAUAGUAAACAUGAAGCAUGCUCACACCUGCCUGCAGUUCAACACUUGAAUGCACUGACUCAAUGGCAAGAUCGCGGUAUUGGAGCACUGACC
rnacentral:lncRNA from 1 species